GAUCUGUAUUGUGGGCAUUGGAGAAAUAAACCCUUGUAUCAAGCCUCUGAAUAGCAUUCUAAGUCCAUUUGUUGAAAAAUAGUGAUCUUGUCCCUUAGCUU
rnacentral:snoRNA from 1 species